CUCCUCCUUCUCUUCUUCUUCUUCUUCUUCUUCUUCUUCUUCUUCUUCUUCUUCUUCUUCUUUCUCCUCCUCCUCCUCCUCCUCUUCUUCUUAUUCUUCUUCUUCUUCUUCUUCUUCUUCUUCUCCUUCUUCUUUUCGUUCUUCUUCUAAUUAUUUUCUUCUUUUCCUUUUUUCUUUUUCAUUUUUGUCCUUCUUCUUUUCCUCUUUUUUUCUUCUAACCUAGCUAACUAACCUGAUUAGCCUAAUAAUAUAACCAAAUAAACUAACUAAAUUACCCUAUAUAUAU
rnacentral:lncRNA from 1 species